rnacentral:rRNA from 1 species
UGCGCAGGCGGUUUGAGUAAGACAGAUGUGAAAUCCCCGAGCUUAACUCGGGAAUGGCAUAUGUGACUGCUCGACUAGAGUGUGUCAGAGGGAGGUGGAAUUCCACGUGUAGCAGUGAAAUGCGUAGAUAUGUGGAAGAACACCGAUGGCGAAGGCAGCCUCCUGGGACAUAACUGAAGCUCAGGCACGAAAGCGUGGGGAGCAACA